rnacentral:rRNA from 1 species
GAUGAACGCUGGCGGCGUGCUUAAUACAUGCAAGUCGAGCGAACAGACGAGGAGCUUGCUCCUCUGACGUUAGCGGCGGACGGGUGAGUAACACGUGGAUAACCUACCUUUAAGACUGGGAUAACUUCGGGAAACCGGAGCUAAUACCGGAUAAUAUAUUGAACCGCAUGGUUCAAUAGUGAAAGACGGUUUUGCUGUCACUUAUAGAUGGAUCCGCGCCGCAUUAGCUGGUUGGUAAGGUAACGGCUUACCAAGGCAACGAUGCGUAGCCGACCUGAGAGGGUGAUCGGCCACACUGGAACUGAGACACGGUCAAGACUCCUACGGGAGGCAGCAGUAGGGAAUCUUCCGCAAAGGGCGAAAGCCUGACGGAGCAACGCCGCGUGAGUGAUGAAGGUCUUCGGAUCGUAAAACUCUGUUAUUAGGGAAGAACAAAUGUGUAAGUAACUAUGCACGUCUUGACGGUACCUAAUCAGAAAGCCACGGCUAACUACGUG